rnacentral:rRNA from 1 species
CCCUUAGAUGUUCUGGGCCGCACGCGCGCUACACUGAUGCAUUCAACGAGUUUCUUCCUGGUCCGAGAGGAAUGGGUAACCUUUUGAAAGUGCAUCGUGAUAGGGAUAGACUAUUGCAAUUAUUGGUCUUCAACGAGGAAUUCCUAGUAGACGUAGUUCAUCAGACUGCAUCGAUUACGUCCCUGCCCUUUGUACACACCGCCCGUCGCUCCUACCGAUUGAAUGCUCAGGUGAGCCAUUCGGACUUUCAUCAUGCUGGUUUCCAGUUUUGAUGAAGGAAAGUCUUGCGAACCUUAUCAUUUAGAGGAAGGAGAAGUCGAACA